rnacentral:rRNA from 1 species
ACUCCUGGGGAGGCAGCAGUGGGGAAUUUUGGACAAUGGGCGAAAGCCUGAUCCAGCAAUGCCGCGUGAGUGAAGAAGGCCUUCGGGUUGUAAAGCUCUUUUGUCAGGGAAGAAACGGUGAAAGCUAAUAUCUUUUGCUAAUGACGGUACCUGAAGAAUAAGCACCGGCUAACUACGUGCCAGCAGCCGCGGUAAUACGUAGGGUGCAAGCGUUAAUCGGAAUUACUGGGCGUAAAGCGUGCGCAGGCGGUUUUGUAAGUCUGAUGUGAAAUCCCCGGGCUCAACCUGGGAAUUGCAUUGGAGACUGCAAGGCUAGAAUCUGGCAGAGGGGGGUAGAAUUCCACGUGUAGCAGUGAAAUGCGUAGAUAUGUGGAGGAACACCGAUGGCGAAGGCAGCCCCCUGGGUCAAGAUUGACGCUCAUGCACGAAAGCGUGGGGAGCAAACAGGAUUAGAUACCCCUGUAGUCCCAUGAU